rnacentral:rRNA from 1 species
UCGGAUUGCAGGCUGNAACCCGCCUGUAUGAAGUUGGAAUCGCUAGUAAUCGCGGAUCAGCAUGCCGCGGUGAAUACGUUCCCGGGCCUUGUACACACCGCCCGUCACACCAUGAGAGUCGGGAACACCCGAAGUCCGUAGCCUAACCGCAAGGGGGGCGCGGCCGAAGGUGGGUUCGAUAAUUGGGGUGAAGUCGUAACAAGGUACC